rnacentral:rRNA from 1 species
GGUAUUGAAAUAAGAUUUUAAUUGAAUGCUAAGAGAAUGGAAGUCCAGAAAAAAACUUUUUUUAAAUUAAAAAUUGAAGUUUUUUUAAUUUGUGCAGAAACAAUUAUUUAUAUUAAAGACAAGAAGACCCUAUGAAUUUAUUAAAUUUUUAUUUAAUAUGUAAUUACUAUUAGAAAAAUUUUAGCUGGGGCGGCUAGAAAAUAUUAUAAACUUUUUAAAAAUAAAAUGAUCCAUUAUUAAUGAUUUUAUGUUAAAUACUCUAGGGAUAACAGCGU